AUAGAGCACUCGCCGAAAAGAAACAAGAGAAUCCUAGAAGUUAUGCAGAGUAUCCUCUGUAUACUGCCACAGACAGCCACCCAGUAAACAGGCAGUACCCUGACCAUGUUGGCAUGAUAUAUCAUACAAAGGUAUCUCAGCAGCUCCACAUGUAAAUACUAGUAACAGCCAUCCAUCCCGUAUGCAUUAUAUAAACGGAUCCCAGGAGGGGAAACUGGAUACACAGACAAGAGAACCAAAAAUAAAUAAAAAUACAAUAAGCGGACAGACUGCAACAGCCCAUUAAGCACAUGGAUUCCAUGGGAAAGGGACAGCAGGCAAUCAUUAGCAGAGACAGAAACCUAGUCUUAAUCAAGGCAUUAUUAUAUUAAUCAAAGGUAGCUCUAAUAGGAGGGAACCUGUUCCCCUGAUAUCUUGAUAGAACCACGGCUACAUAGAAGAAAGAAGUGAAAGUCUGAAACCAUAUCCACUGUCCAGCACUUGCAGUAAAAUGCACAUGGCAGUCCAACAAACCUACUAGCAGGAAAUUAAACACUGCGCUAGUGAAAGAAACUAGAGAGAACAAAGGGAGUAGCAAAUUCGUUUAUACUAUAUAAUAUAGACAGCAUCUAGAAAGAUGGCAACCCCGGCGACGAACAUGAGAAAGCAGAGGAAGCAAAGCUGAAUUGCGCGCGUGCGCACACACAAGAUCCAAACGAGGAAGGAAUGGCAGCUUGAAAAGGAGGAGGCUUCCUACCUAGUGAUGAACUAAUGAUCCGGGAAGGGGACGAGCGCCUCUGGCCUGCGGCGAAAUUAGUGAAGGUGGGGAAAUCUUUGGCAGCCCUGAAUUUGCCCCUGCUGCAGCUCUCUGCUCUGCUCUUGUAGCUGCCCGUAUGUGAGUGCGGUGGCGGUACAGGGUGUCACGUCCGAAUAAAGCAGCAGCAGCAGCAGCAGCAUCAUCAUAAAUCCUAACGUGUGAUCGGCCGGCGUCUGUCUCCACACCUCACCGGCUUUCUUGUCACGUCCCAAGCUCGAUCUCUGCUGCUCUUCAAUGCAGGAUUCGGUGGGGAUGAGGGAACAAUGCAGUACUACAGUAGGUGAGACGCAGACAGAACAGGAGGGAAAAGCUCAGAGCCUCCCUUGCUAAUCCACAUCUACAACUCUAGACUUGUACCCUCCGUCCGUCCGUCGAUCGACACAUCGACAACACAAUGCAAGCUUUAUUCGUGCUUGCGCACAUGACCAUCGUUCUCUUCUCCCCAUGCAUGUCACCGCUCCUGUCUUCUCGCACCGCACUGAUUCCAUCAAUGCAUGAAAGCUUUUGCACUCGGCCAAAAU
rnacentral:lncRNA from 1 species